UACGUAGGUGGCAAGCGUUGUCCGGAUUUACUGGGCGUAAAGAGCGCGCAGGCGGUCGUUCAAGUCGAGUGUGAAAGCCCCCGGCUCAACUGGGGAGGGUCACUCGAUACUGAUCGACUCGAAGGCAGAAGAGGGAAGCGGAAUUCCCGGUGUAGUGGUGAAAUGCGUAGAUAUCGGGAGGAACACCAGUGGCGAAGGCGACUCUUUGGCCUGUAACUGACACUGAGGCGCGAAAGCGUGGGGAGCAAACAGG
rnacentral:rRNA from 1 species